GAAUACUAUUAUUCAGACUUGUGCUGUUGCAUGUUACAGUAUUGCUGUAGGAGGUGGCUUUGGAUCAUAUCUUUUGGGACUGAAUAAGAAAACAUAUCAGCAAGCUGGGGUCGAUACAAGUGGCAAUACACCAGGGAGCUAUAAGGAACCUAAACUUGAUUGGAUGAUUGGUUUUCUCUUUGUUGUUAGUUUUGUUGGGCUAUUAGCUCUGGUUCCUCUUAGAAAGAUCAUGAUAAUUGACUACAAAUUACCUUAUCCAAGUGGAACUGCGACUGCUGUUCUAAUCAAUGGAUUUCAUACACCCAAGGGAGAUAAAUUGGCCAAGAAACAGGUUAAAGGGUUCAUGAAAG
rnacentral:misc_RNA from 1 species